GUCUCCUGAGAGAUCUCUGCAGAAUCAGAGCGAUGAUAUUAUGGCUCAAUAUCACAUCCUUUCUAUUCGUUCUCAGAGGUAUCCAGUCAAAAUUAGAUUUUGUGGCUUCUGGUGGAAAAGUUAAAAUGCUCGGGGACUCUCUCCAGAUCUCCUGCAAAACCUCUGGAUUCACUUUUGGUGAUUAUGCGAUGACCUGGGUCAGACAAACUCCACCAGAGAGACACACUCCUGGAAAGGGUCUGAGAUGGAUUGCCUAUAUUAGCAAAUCAUCUGGGGAUACUAAAUCCUACGCUGAUUCAGUGAAAGGGCGAUUCACCAUCUCCAGAGACAAUUCCAGGAGCCUGUUGUACUUGCAUAUGACUAAGCUGAGAUGUGAAGAUGCUGCUGAGUAUUACUGUGGUUGGACACAGUGUGCAGAAGGCAGUCAGAGCUCAAACAAGAACCUGAACUUGUAG